rnacentral:rRNA from 1 species
GAUGAACGCUAGCGGGAGGCCUAACACAUGCAAGCCGAGCGGUAUUGUUUCUUCGGAAAUGAGAGAGCGGCGUACGGGUGCGGAACACGUGUGCAACCUGCCUUUAUCUGGGGGAUAGCCUUUCGAAAGGAAGAUUAAUACUCCAUAACAUAUUGAACGGCAUCGUUUGAUAUUGAAAGCUCCGGCGGAUAUAGAUGGGCACGCGCAAGAUUAGCUAGUUGGUGAGGUAACGGCUCACCAAGGCGAUGAUCUUUAGGGGGCCUGAGAGGGUGAUCCCCCACACUGGUACUGAGACACGGACCAGACUCCUACGGGAGGCAGCAGUGAGGAAUAUUGGUCAAUGGGUGCAAGCCUGAACCAGCCAUCCCGCGUGAAGGAUUAAGGUCCUAUGGAUUGUAAACUUCUUUUGUAUAGGGAUAAACCUACCCUCGUGAGGGUAGCUGAAGGUACUAUACGAAUAAGCACCGGCUAACUCCGUG